AUAACAUUACAGCUGGAAACCACUUAGUUUCUAUCCAACAUCAUUCUAACAUUCAUUAAUUUUACAGUAUUUCUGUAGAUAGUCUUUAAACUUUUUCCAAUCUUCUUCCACCGACUCUUCUCCCUGGUCUCGGAUUCUGCCAGUCAUUUCUGCCAGUUCCAUAUAGUCCAUCAUCUUCAUCUGCCAUUCUUCCAGGGUGGGUAGAUCUUGUGUCUUCCAAUACUUUGCAAUAAGUAUUCUUGCUGCUGUUGUGGCAUACAUAAAGAAAGUCCUAUCCUUCUUUGGCACCAAUUGGCCGACUAUGCCCAACAGGAAGGCCUCUGGUUUCUUUAGAAAGGUAUAUUUAAAUACCUUUUUCAGUUCAUUAUAGAUCAUCUCCCAGAAAGCCUUGAUCUUUGGGCACGUCCACCAAAGGUGAAAGAAUGUACCUUCGUUUUCCUUACAUUUCCAACAUUUAUUAUCGGGCAAAUGAUAGAUUUUUGCAAGCUUGACUGGUGUCAUGUACCACCUGUAUAUCAUUUUCAUAAUAUUCUCUCUUAGGGCAUUACAUGCCGUAAAUUUCAUACCUGUGGUCCACAACUGUUCCCAGUCAGCAAACAUAAUGUUAUGUCCAACAUCUUGUGCCCAUUUAAUCAUAGCAGAUUUCACCGUUUCAUCCUGAGUAUUCCAUUUCAACAGCAAGUUAUACAUCUUUGACAGAAUCUUAGUUUUGGGUUCUAACAGUUCUGUUUCUAAUUUUGAUUUUUCCACCUGGAAGCCAAUUUUCUUGUCCAAUCCAAAUUAUAUGCCUCCAUUAUCUGAUAAUAACAAAGGUUGUCACAUUUUAUUUUAGUAUAUUAAAUUCACCAGAUUUUAAUAUAUUAUUGGAGCUUGCCAUGGUGUUCCUCAGAUGUUUGGGGUCAUUAAGCCCUUUGUUUUAAAUCCCCAAACUUGUAAGGUUCUGACAGCAUCUACAUAUUAGGGGAUCUAGCCAACAAGGACUUUCCUUGACAUUAGCUAUACUCCAAAAUUGGAAAAGGCUGUCACAGUAACUGAUGGAGCUAAUGGAUAAUAAACUGUUCUGCCAUCUCCUUUCCAAACCCUUGAAUAGUGCUCAAGAUCAUGAAAAGGUCUUUGCCAAGUUUCGGAAACGAAAGUUUCUUAAACUAACAGGAGACCUUACGUGUUCACCUGGAAUUCUGUGCACUGAGAAUGAGCUAGAAUGUUGGUCACAGAUUGUAAACAUUAUGCAAAGAAAUGAAAACCCCGAAAUGACCCAACAUUUUGCAUGGUGUGCUGUUGGAAAUAAUGAAAGAAGUCACUUUUUACUGAAACUUGUACUGUUCCCUAGCAUUUCAAAGAGUGAUAUUGCUGCUUUUUGAUCGCUAAGAGUUGGGUUAUCAAAAGCUGUCAGUACUGGCUAACUCUGCUCCCAAAGAUGUCAACAGUAGUUUUCCAAUUGAUUGAAUGUGCAGCCUGCACUGAUGAGCACCUUUGAAAAUGUUAAUUUUCAUUGUUAUAGAAUAGAUAAAACAAUACAAUCUACCAGAAGAUUCUCCUGCAGAUGUCCCACUGAUGUGAAUUCUUUGGGGCUUUCACAAGAGAACUUUAUGGUGGAUUGUGCCCCAAAUUAUAUUAGACAGAUUAUCUCAAGCAGAAUGAAAAUCUCUUUUUCUUUUCUCUUUUACAUUGUGUCCUUGCAAAAGGAGGAUUUUAAAUAGCUUGCUUUGUGCAGAAAAUGAAAAAUAGUAACUAGCUAGUUACCAAAUUGAAGCCUUUCAUUUUCAUAAUCAUCUGCUGAAACUUUUGUUCAUCUGACCAGAGAUAAUUCAGGAUCCUGUUAAGCUACAAAACUAGAAAAGUAGUUCUGUUAUCAUAGGCUUUUCUUCAGAUAUUUUUGCUCAUAAUAGGGCAAGACUGGAGCUGAAGUUAUUGCUAACAAUACCAUCUACUUCUCAAUGUAAUGCAAGGAGGAUAGGUACAAGAGAAAGUCACCUCUCUCCCUAAUCUGUGUGGCCAGAGGGGAAAGAUUAAAUUCCUGCAUAGGAUAUCAGCUGCCUUUGACGCCUACAUCUUUUAACUUCUUAAAAGAAAGAUCACAGGUAGAGAUGUAAGAAGGCAUUAUUUUAUAUUCCGCAGUAUAUUCACAUGCAAAACUGUUUCCAUUCUGCUGCAAUUCAUCUUCACCCAAAACCAUGUUAUUCAUUUUGCUGUCUGCUGCAGUGAAAUUACAUAAUUUACAUAAUUACAUAAAUUAAGUUGUUGUAGCAUUAUUCCAUCCCAUUCAUUUCAAUGCAAAAGAAACGUAAUAGAAAAGGGAGGUGGGGGUGGAACAUAAUUAUGUACUGUUUGUGGAUUGAGAGCAACAUCAACAGUGAAUACUUAAAUUCACUGGAUUGAUUUCUAUUCUGGACAUGGGGAAAAUCAACAAAAAUGGCCAUUUCCAUUUGUAUUCUCCCACAUGCCUAGUCACAGGAUGACUGCAAGCUCUGCUGAUUUUAGCUCUGAAGACCAUUGACAUCACUCAUAAACCAAACUCCUUAAUCUUACAGAAGGCAGCAAACCACCCUAGAUUUAUUUAUAUAUAUAUAUUUCCAGAUCCGAGGCAGGAAAAGGGUGCUUAGGGACCCUGUUUCCUUUUAGUUUAACUUGCCUAGGGGCUGCUUUAUAGCUUCCAGGCAGUUAGGACUGGUUCUUUUUCCACUUCAAGGACACCACGAUACUCUGUGUGCCAUUCCAGACGUUAUGACUUAUGAGAUGCAUUGGAUCUUAGACGAGUGUAAGAUGUUUGCCACCUGUGGUGGAAAAUCCAAAUGGUGUCUCUCACAUUAAAAUGGGUCAGAGUAGAGUUGUGCGGUGUGCUGUUAUGUAGAUCCCAUGUGUUUCAGUUGUGUUUGUGUAGGGAGACUUGUGUCUUGGGGCCCCUUUAGUCAGAUCUGCCUUUCUCCUCCUUGCUAUUCUCGGUGGCCCCCAAAGGCUGCCUUGAUAUGAGGGAGCCAAACAAGGAAUCCUCCAUUAUGAAGUCGUCUUGAGUGCUAAGCAUUAAAAAAAAGGAACUCAUUGUUGCAUUAUGUCCCACCAGCUUUUCACACGCAGCAAUCGCCUCUCUCCUCGGAUGCACUGUACUGGGGGUUCUCCUGGCCCCUUUGCCCCGCCAAUUUUGGGGGAGCCCUCUUGUGCAGAUGGGCAUCCUUUCACAGGGCUUCCUCUGAUAAGGUGCAUCAGGUAAAUCCCACUAAAAGAGUUUGUGGACAGCAGACCCAUCUCUCACCCCCCGCCUGCAACUCUUCUUUGAUGAAAAGGUGUUUAUAGACUAGUUUGGAUGGAUUCAGUACACUUCUGAGUGCUUCCCUAACAUCAGACAUAAAUAAUAUUGUAUGUAUAUUAAUAAGCUUUUUAAUUUAGAUUCUAGGAUCAGUAUUAAUAUGGGUGGGUUGAGGAGGAAAGGGACAAGAAAAAACCCGAGAUUCUUGGUGAACCUUCUCUCCCCUUCACCAAUCCCAGAUAUCAUGAUAACAGCUGCAAUCCUAUACACAUCUACCUGGAAAUAAGUCUCAUUGAACUCAAUGGUACUUAACUUCAGAGUAGAUCUGUAUUGAAUUGCACUGCAAGGGAGAUUCCGGGAUGUGAGGGAAAGUACUAGAUCACAACAAAAGAUGGAUUUUGUGCAAUAUCUUUGCUUGCUUUUCUUGUGUGUAUAUGUGUUUUUAAAAGAAUUCAUUUUGACAACUAAAAACAUCUGCUUUCCCAGUAGAUCUUUGAGAUUAAUUUUUCUGGGGUGUUCGUUUUGCUUUGCUUUGUUUCAGGAUCGUGUAGAGUUACAUGUAGCAUUUAAUUACAGUUGUCUUGUGGAUUGUCUGUACAUUGUCAGUAGACAAAUGGCAUUUCUGUUGACUGAAGAUGACUAGGGACGCCACAUUGUUGUGCUAUAAUGAUAAACAGAAGUGUUGCCAAUUGCAUAGUAGACAACAAACUCACAGCUAAUGACGUCUAUAUUCCACACAGUACUUUGUAAGUACACAGCAGGGUAGUUUUUGUGUUUAAUUCACCUGGAAAUUCUGCUGCUAACUUCCUCUGUCCUUUGAGCAAGCAAAAUAAUGUUUGUUCCAUACGAUCGAUGGUAGGUGGCAACUUAUGGUAGACAUUUGCAGCUUCAUAAUCCAGCAUGUGGCAUCCUUAAUUGAUAUAAAUGAUCGCUCAGAUCAAUAGAUGUUGCAAGUAUCUUUUAAAUUGUUUGUUAAUGAUGUUAAUCCAUGUAUUUGAUGUACAUUUUCUUCUCAUGGCCAAGCGUUUUAUCAGGAGCUAUUUUAAAUUAACUUACUUGAAUGAGUUAACUGAAGCACUGUGUAAUUUAUCUAGCUCUAGACGCAACUUACAAACAAGGUUUGUGGUGAAUUUCUUUUUCUGUACACACCCAUGCUACUCAUGAAGCUGUUUCAUGGAGGUAGUGAAAAUCUAGCAUAUUUCAAUUUAUGUCUCAGAGAAGAGAGGGGGAAAUGUCUCUUUCUGUGAACAAAAGAACCUACCUUUGUAACGGGCCUUAUCUCUAAACAGUUUCAUAGCUGCCUUUUACCCAGUUUUGAAGAAAUCAUUUGAUACAGGCAUUGUGGGAUAAAUAAUCGUUUGCAUGGAAACGCAUUUCUUGAUCUCUUCUGACAAUGCAAAGCUAUGUAAAUGAAUCGAAACUGUGUUACAAAUAAAGCCAACAAGGGUUGUUCCUUUUUUAAAAAAACAAACAAACCAAUUAGGGCUUCGAUCUGUAGUGUUGCACACCUUAGCUUAGAUAACAGGAGAUUUUCCUCUAGAGCACCAGUUUCAGCUGAAGGCACCAGGACCCACAGGUGGGGCAUACACUUAUGAAAGCAGUGUCAUGCCAGCAACCAUUUAAAGCAGUAAUUUGAGAGAGAGAAGGAGACCACGUAAAGGAGUAUGAAGCUCCUUGAACAUUAAUGAAGCUGUGAAGAGGAGAAAUUCAGCACAUGCAGCUUCUCAGUUAGUUCUCCUUUCCCUUGCUUGACCAGCUGCAUCUGCCAACAUCUCUUUUGCACAGGAGUCGUAUCCUCCUUGCACUUCAAGGAGACGAAUGGAGAGAAGAUGUGGAGGGAAGGACCCUGGCUCAAAGGUAGGACCAUCUCCAGGGAUGGUUGGGAAGGCUCCUUUCUUGGAACCCAGGAGAACACACUAGCGGAACCAGCGGCCUAAUUCAACUUGGGGAAGCUUCUUGCUUUCCUAUGAACAUAUAGCAGUUGCAGGGGAUUAAAAGCCAGUCCCUCAUUUUAGGUUGGGAUUAGGGAUGGGUCCUGGGCCUGAAAGUGUUGGGACUACUGCCCUAGAGUUUAAAGACUGUGGAACUCAAACUCCUGUCAUAUGUCAAACUCCUCUAUAUGCACUUUAAAUUGACCGUUUUUGCUAAUGUUGGUACAAAGUAUUUGGUAAACACGUUGCCAUAAAGUGCCCCACGGUGUAAUAUAAAAUAAAAAUUACUGAACUCAGAAAUACAUAUUGGGUCUUGUUUUUGGCUUGAUUGCUCAUUUGGAUUACAUUUGGCUAAAAGCUACAUUUGAGAAUCGAACUGUUAGGUUAUACCAAGGCGGUUUGGAAGCAAGACCGUUGCUCUGCAACAUUUGUUUGUUUUGAACAUAUUUCACAGCUUUCCAGAAGUUAGGGAAGUGGGGAGCCUUUAAAGCUGGACAUGGAACCAUAGAAUAAUAGAAUUGUAGAAUUGGAAGGGACCCUAAGGGUCAUCUACUCCAAUCUCCCGCAAUGCAGGAAUCUCAGCUAAAGCAUCCAUGACAGAUGGCCAUCCAACCUCUGCUUAUAGACCUCCAAGGAAGCAGAGUCCACAGUCUCCCAAGGAAGACGGUUCCAUGGUCAAACAGCUCUUUCUGACAGUUCUUCCUGAUGUUUAGUUGGAAUCUCCUUUCUUGUAACUUGAAGCCAUUGGUUUGAGUCCUGCCCUCCAGAGCAGGAGAAAACAAGCUUGUUCCCCCUUCAACAUAUUGGCCCUUGGGAUAUUUGAAGACGGCUAUCCUAUCUCAGUUGCCUCUUUCCCAGUCUUAAUGCACACUUUUCACAGGUAAACUGUUCUAAUUUGUUGGUUUAUUUGAGCAUUGCAGGGAAUUGAUCUCCUCUCUGAAAGCAGUGGGAUUUUCAUUCAGCUCCAACUCUGACCUGAGAUUUUAGCAAGCAUUGCCAACCAUGUCUUUGCAGUCAUAAGACCGAGAAGGUUGUUUACAAAAACCAGACGGUAAAUGGUGCACCCAGUGUAACAGUCUAUGCUUUUUUCUGUGCUCCCGUAAUAUAAUGACCUGGUUAACACAUCAUGCUAAGCCAAAUCAUGGCUUGCCGAUGCUUCAUGCAUCCUUGGAUGUUUUGCAGCUGUGCUGCAGUGAGCCCAAGCCAUAGUUUAGCAUAGUUUGCUGUAGGAACCUGUGCUCUUCAAACUCGUGACAAGCAGUAACCAAGAUUUGCCCUAUGAUUUUAUUACUGUUUUUAUUAAUUUUUUAAAGAAUGGUUUAACUGUACAAAAUAAAAUCAAAAAGGAGGGAGACAAAAAGAGAAACGGUAUACUAUAUCAUUAUAAGAGUUAAUUACAAUUUCAUAUAUGCUUAUCUAAUGUACAGGUAUUAUUAUUAUCCAGAUACAUAUAUGUUUAUUUUUAACCUACUAUAUUUUGAAUAAAUGUGUUCCAGAUGUCAUUAUGCUUGGCCAUGCAAAGUCUCCAUCUAUAAGCAAUCCGUUCAUCAGUUGCAAGUGUAGUUGUAUCUUCAAUUCAUUGAUUAAAUGGAGCCGUACGCUUACCUUUCCAGUGCAUCGGUAUCAGUCUUUUGGCCGUAUCAAGGAAUCCAUUUACAUUGUCCCGUUGUCAAAUUCCAUAAAGUAGGUAUGUAGUUCUAAAUAAUAUUUUCUUCUGAAAACUUUAGCUCCCCCCCUCCACAGUUAUAUAAUCCACUGCUUUCUCCCAAGACGUAAUAAGUGUAAGGCAUUGUAAAAACAUGUGUUUUAAAGAAGCAUUAUCCCUACUACAUCUCCAACCUUUCCACCUGGUGGUCCAUCCUCAAGUCCUAUUGUUACUAUUGCCGCUUCCUCUUUUGGUUCUGGUUUAGCAGUUGUGGCAUGAUUUGGCAGAGGAGGCUGCUACUCGCUAACUCCUGCAUUAGCACCAACAUGGUGCACAUGGAAGAAUGCAAAGGAAGAUAAAUCCGCUAGCAUAAUCUUGGCCUCACUUAGGACAGAAGCAUCUCGUGGUUGGCAUUCACUUUGGGGCCCUGAUGUAUCACUUCUGGAGAAACAUGCCUUGCGCUUUCUUGAAAAAUGUUCUUUUGUCCAUUACAUGAGAACAUGAGAUUCCGGGGAGCCGGAAAGCCUGCACUCGCAGGCAUGUCAGUAAGAUGGACACAGCAUCUCGGCAGUUGAAGAAAAAUGGCCGUCCAGCCUGCAAAAUGACAUCUACAAACUGACUUUGACAUGAGGUGGGCAUGGCACACAAUCUGGCUGGCAUGGAAUUAAAGCCAUUCCUUAGAAACAAAUGGCAGGUGCGGUUAGCUGCCCUCUAUGAACAACGGCAUCCCGGCUGCCAGAUCAAUGUUGGCAGCUUUGAUCCCCAGUCAAUCUUUUAAGAAAAAAAGAGAGAGGAUCCCAUCUACUGAGUCAUCUCUCAAGCCUGACGGCUACAAUAGCAAGCAAGCUUGUCGCAUGUCCAGCUAACGAAACAACAACAGGGGAUGCUGCAAAGAUGGAAACCCCUUUGAGUUAUUCCUGACAGAAUCACAGUAAUAUUGUCAACCCUGAGCAGACCAUUCCUCCUUGGAUGCGCUGUGAAUUCUUCUCACGGUUCUACACAGUCCUCUAAACAUACUUUAUUUGUUUAACAUUUAGCAUCUGUCCCAUCCUUCCAAGCGUGGGGUUGUGUGGAAAUAUUCACAAAGGGUUCAAUAAAAAAGGUCU